rnacentral:rRNA from 1 species
UACGUAGGGUGCGAGCGUUGUCCGGAAUUAUUGGGCGUAAAGGGCUCGUAGGCGGUCUGUCGCGUCGGGAGUGAAAACUCGGGGCUUAACUCCGAGCCUGCUUCUGAUACGGGCAGACUAUAGGUAUGCAGGGGAGAAUGGAAUUCCUGGUGUAGCGGUGAAAUGCGCAGAUAUCAGGAGGAACACCAGUGGCGAAGGCGGGUCUCUGGGCCGAUACUGACGCUGAGGAGCGAAAGCGUGGGGAGCGAACAGG